CCCGCUGAACUUAAGCAUAUCAAUAAGCGGAGGAAAAGAAACUAACAAGGAUUCCCCUAGUAACUGCGAGUGAAGCGGGAAAAGCUCAAAUUUAAAAUCUGGCGGUCUUUGCGGCCGUCCGAGUUGUAAUCUAGAGAAGUGUUAUCCGCGCUGGACCGUGUACAAGUCUCCUGGAACGGAGCCUCAUAGAGGGUGAGAAUCCCGUCUUUGACACGGACUUACCAGGGCUUAUGUGAUGCGCUCUCGAAGAGUCGAGUUGUUUGGGAAUGCAGCUCAAAAUGGGUGGUAAAUUCCAUCUAAAGCUAAAUAUUGGCGAGAGACCGAUAGCGAACAAGUACCGUGAGGGAAAGAUGAAAAGAACUUUGGAAAGAGAGUUAAACAGUACGUGAAAUUGUUGAAAGGGAAACGCUUGAAGUCAGUCGCGUCGGCUUGGGGGAUCAACCUUGCAUUCAUUUGCUGGGCGUACUUCCCUAGUCGAUGGGUCAGCAUCAAUUUUGAUCGUUGGAUAAAGGUCUGGGGAAUGUGGCAUCUUCGGAUGUGUUAUAGCCCUUGGUCGGAUACAACGGUUGGGAUUGAGGAACUCAGCACGCCGCAAGGCCGGGUCUUCGGACCACGUAACGUGCUUAGGAUGCUGGCAUAAUGGCUUUAAUCGACCCGUCUUGAAACACGG
rnacentral:rRNA from 1 species